rnacentral:lncRNA from 1 species
CAUAUAAAGCUUAUCUCAAAUUUUAGGAAUAUAUAUGCACCACUGGCAGGUGUCCACAGAUCUUCUAAUCUAAACACCGAACGUGAUAACGUCCAGUCGUCCACCCUGGUUACUCUCUACAUUGUUAGCCAUUUAACCUGUACACUUUACAAGUCUCGUGCCCAUGCCCAUGGACUGCCUACCCAAAAACUGCUUUCCAGGACAGGAGCCAAGUGCCCGAGAUCAGGGAUACCAA